UACGUAGGGUGCAAGCGUUAAUCGGAAUUACUGGGCGUAAAGCGUGCGCAGGCGGUUUUGUAAGACCGAUGUGAAAUCCCCGGGCUUAACCUGGGAACUGCAUUGGUGACUGCGAGGCUUGAGUGUGUCAGAGGGAGGUGGAAUUCCGCGUGUAGCAGUGAAAUGCGUAGAUAUGCGGAGGAACACCGGUGGCGAAGGCGGAUCUCUGGGCCAUUACUGACGCUGAGGAGCGAAAGCGUGGGGAGCGAACAGG
rnacentral:rRNA from 1 species